AGAUUUGGGGAAACAAUCUCUGUUAGCAACAGCCCGGGGCCGUAUCCACGCACUGGCCUUGGUGAAGAGCUGUGUGGAGUAACUACCAGCAGCGAGGGACACAAGCAGCGUGGCUUACGGGCAGGGGCAUGGAAUAAACGUGCUGACCUCACUCCCUCUCUCCCAUCAGCCAAACCCAGUGGAAGCCAGGGGGGAAAGGAAGCCUGUCCAUGCAGGUGAAACAGAAGUCUGAGAAGAAAUGCCUGAGAGGGAAACCAAGAGAAGAUGGCAUCCUCAGAGACCCAGGAGCUAACGGAAGAGGAAGUCAGACCCGGAACCAGGGUCUGGCAAGUGAAGUCCAUCCGUGACCUUGGAUGGAAAAGGCUCGGUGGGGUGGUGGGACCCAGAGCCUUGUCAGUGCUGUCAAACAUGAAUGGGAGGCGAUGAAGACGAGAGAAUGCUGUAGACAACUCUUUCCAGAAGUAAAGCUUUAAUCUUCAUGACCACCCCCCCCCCUAAGCAAGUGGACACCGCUCUGCCCAUUUUACAGACAAGGGAACUGAGCCUUGGCGAAGGCUGGUACCUUGCGGAGGUUUUGCGUGGGAUGGAACCCAGCUGGGCCCAAUUCCAAUUAGGCCAAAGGGGUCAGAGGGAGGAGCUUGAGACUAGGAUCCAGGGGAAGGAAGGGAGUCACCAGAGUAGGCGGAGAGCUGGGGGAAGGAGUGAUUGUUAGUUGGAUUAUUGGAGGUUCCCAGGCUGUUCAGCAACCACCCCCCCCCCCCAACCUUUCUCUAGGUAACUAUAUCUUUCUUCCUGGUCACCCUAGAACGGUAGAGUAGGGCCAGAGGACAGAUUUGGGGAGAGCCUGGGGGAGGAGAGUGGAAAAUGUCUUUGGGGGUGGGUCGGCGCGGGGGCGUCGACCCUGCUGCCUCUGAACGCCAAGAUCUGGCGCCAGCUGCGGAGAGCUGCUCCACACCGCAAGCCUGGAUACCUCUCCGGGCCUUCCCAGCCGUCUGUCUGGGCCCAAGGUGACCGCCUUUCAACCGCAGCUGCUCCUCUAAGCCACGGGCGCGCUGGGUCUGUCCCUCCCUCUUCCCUCAGUCUGGAAGUGCACUUGGCCGCGGACGCCUUGCGGACUUUUCCAGGAGGGGUGCGGGGAAGCAGCCUGGGGCUUGACGCGAGCGGCGGGUACACCUCUCGGAAGAAGCCUAGUGGAGCCCAGGCACUGGGCGGGGGACCUUGAGACGCGCCAUGAGAGGGCUCCUGGCGCCCCCUUCAGUCUGAGCUGUGCGCUGCAGGGGUGGAACAUGGAUGGACAGCCCAGGGGCCAGGGGCGUUGCUCCCCGCUGGUCUGGGCGGGGCUAGCAAGGCUUCGGAAAGAUGGCUUUGGAGCACACCGGCACCAGAAAGCCGGCGGUUCAAACACCCGACCCAGGACAGAGGUGGGGGUCAAUCCUCCCGGGAAUGCCGGGGACGUGAGGGCGAAAAGGUGCCAGGGUGGCGCCCCGUUAGUGGAACGGCACCCAGACUUGUCCCCCAGCCGGCGGGCCAAGUCUAGGGAAGCCCUCCUACGAGAAGUCUGGUGCCCUGAGCUGACCUGAGGCGCGUCAGUGAACCAAAUGCAGUGCCCUGCCGGGGCGCCCCCGCCCCGAGGGCGGGGCCAGGGCGGGGCCCAAGUCUUUCCUGCAGGUGCAGGGGGCGGUGCCCGGCCCUGUCCCCGGGGGCCGUUCUCGGAGGCCAGGGGCGGGUCAGAGAAGCGGCUGAGGUAGGCGACGCCUUAGAACCCGCGGGCGGUGACUGUGCCACAGGUGCUGCGCAGGGCACCGUGUCUCAGCUCUGAGCAUCAAAACUCCGGCUCUGGAAACUAAGGCUUCCGAACUGCUCCCAACCCUGGACACCGAGGCCCCCGGGCCGGAGAGCGGAGCCCUGGGGUCGUCCGAAGCUCGGGGCCCCGAGCCCCCCGGGUCAGACAUCGAAGUCCCGGGGCCUGCCGCAGAGCAGGACGCCGACGUACCCAGGCCAAGAGGCAAGGUCUCCGUGCUCUCCGCGGAGCAGGGCGCGGAGACCCCUGAGCGAGAGAGUGAAGUCCUUGGGCCAUCAGCGGGGCUGGACACAGAACGCCCCGGGCCAUCCGCAGCUGGGGGUUUUGAGAGUCUCGAGACAGGCGACGACAACCCCGAGCCGUCUGAAGCACGAAGCGCGGGGGUCCCGAAGCACUGUCCUCUUCAGUGUCCCGAGACCUCCUCUUCGGGGUCAGACUCGGAAGCCCCCCUGCUGCAUUUUCUACUGCGCCCCGAGACCCCCCAACAGGUCCCCGGGAAGCCGCUCAUGGAGACGCCCAUCGAGCGAGAAAUCCGCCGCAGCUGCGAACGCGAGGAGAGCCUGCGCCGGAGCCGGGGCCUGAGCCCAGGCCGCGCCGGCCGAGAACUCGUCGAGCUACGCGUGCGACCGGUGCUCAGCCUGCCGGGCCCGGGGCCCGCGCUCCCGCGCGCCUUGGAGCGCGCGCGGGCGGGCGCGCAAAUGCAGCGAGACAUCGAGCGGGAGGCCCACCGUCAGGCGGCGCUGGCGCGUCCCGCGGCCCCAGAGCAGUGCGCCCGGCCGCCGCCGCAGCCGCUGGGCGAGCUCAAGCGAUUCUUUGAGACCGCCGCGGGACGCGGCUCCUCGCCGGCGGAGGAAGGCGGCGCGGGCCCGCAGGGGCUGCCGGAUCCCGGAGGCCGGCCUCGCUUGGCCGUGCAAGGCCGGUGCCCGGUGCUGGCCCGUGCCCCGCCGCGGGUCGCGCCGUCGCUGCUGGAGCAGGAGGUGCGCGAGGUGCAUGAGCGCGAACGGGAGCUGCAGCGCCAGAGGCUCAGCGUCUACGGCACCGCUGAGUUCAAGGAGCCCGCGCCGAGCCUCACGGGUUGCUCCCUCCUCCCGAAUGGAGGCCUCCAUGGGAAGGAGGGUAAACGCCUGUGUGUUUAAGGGGCGCGGCCGGUCUCCUUGGUGCUGGCCGCCUCCAGCUGGUGACAGGAGGGGCAACCCCCGCUGAGUGCCCCUUCCCCCGCAGCGAGCAGGGGCGACGGAAAGCUGGCGGUGAUCUGGCCUCCCCGCAGAAAGGCAUCGGAGAACGGCUUGGAGCAGGAGGAGCGGAAGCCUUGAGGUUCCAGUAGGUUGGGACACCCUGCCAGAGGUAACACACACAUCAGAGGAAACUGGUAGGGGCGCCAGGGAGUGCCCUCCGAAUACGCCGAAGGCCUGGAGAGGGUCAGCAGUCUGCUCCGGGGAAGAUGAAGUCGACCAGCUCCUCUUUGCGAAAUUGGCCAUUCUCUUCUAUAAAACUAUUAGUCCACGUUGGGAAACACCACCACUGUCAAUCCUGCCAGUGAAACUGUCCAGCCCUUCUCCGCCUAACUGCGAACUGAACUGGCCUCUGCCUCCGGCCUUUACCGUUCGAGUAAAUGCCUCGGCUACCCUCACUCCCCAAUA